GUGUAGAAAUAGCACAGGCCGGGCCCCUCUGGGUGUAGAUGUGUAGAGAUGGCACAGGUCGGGCCCCUCUGGGUGGAGAGGUGGUGAGAUGGCACAAGCCGGGCCCUUCUGGGUGGGGAGGUGGAGAGAUGGCACAGUGGAGGCCCCUCUGUG